GGAAGGAAAUUAAUCGAAGGAAAAGAAAGCGGAAGUGAAAUUUGACAGUCUGACAUUGAACAUGUAAACAGAAACAAAAUCCAGCAGAUAUUUUCUUUUUGCAUACUUAUGAUGACUGAAAAAGGAAAUAAGCAUUUUUUCAUCAUCUCACCGCAGCCAACUAUCAAUACAAUUAUUGAUGGAUUUUACGAAUUAAUUUUGAGUUGCAGUUUAACUGUCUUUUUAGCAAUGUUGAAGAUGAAUUUAAAUUUGUAGAUGAACUUUUUUUAGUAAUGUUGAUUGAUGUGUAUAACAAACCAUCUCAUGAGGUUCAGGUCAAGCACCUGCUGUACAUAGAACAACAACCCAUUACAGCUUUGACUAUGCAGAGCAGGUAUUCUAUCCAUACUAGGCACAGCAAGAGGGCCCUGCUUUGAAGUGUCUGUAAAUCAUAUGGUUCUCAGAUAUUUAUCUCAGUGAUAAGGGUUUAGCUAUUAUUUGGCCAAUGGUGUGGUACCUCAUUUUCAACAUCAUCCAUAUGGAGAAGAAUCUGCAUACCUGCACGUUGACAACUGUGUUGGGCAGAGUAAAAACAAUGCAGUCAUUGGGGUCUGAUGUAUUCUGAAGGGGCUACAUAGAGAAAUAGCAUUAACUUAAAUGGAAGCAGGUGAAAUAAAGUUCAGUCCUGUCUGAGAUUUGGUCUGUCAAAGACCAAAUGGAGGCAGCACACAUCCUUUGUGGAUUGAUGACCUUGGCAAACUGGUUAUAUUCUUUGACUGGUUGGAGUACACCAAGUGACCCCUGAAGUCCAUUCCAAUCUUGAGGAAAUAUCAUCACUUCAGAACUUCAGCUGACAACCCAGUGAGUGAAUUCAUGAGAGAGCAUGUCAAGGACAGUGAGAUUGAAGUUAAAAUUGACAAGCCUACAACAAUGGUUUUUCCAUGGAGAGUACCCUGAACGCAUCCAACUAAAAGGACUUGAUGCAAAAAGGCUCUGAUCCCUUAAAUAACUGGAAAAAAAACUUUUCAGUAUACUGAUAUGUGAUCUUUAUAAACUAAAUCUAAGAUUUGAGAAUGAUCCGUUACUGAGCUGAUGAAAACGUGUAUCAAUUUUUAUUGACAAUUAUUUAUUCAAUAGAAACAUGUUUAUGUGAAAUAAGGCUACCAGUGAUUUCGAGUGAUAAACUGCGGUUUUAGCAAAUGAGUGAUGGAAGGGUGCUGCACCCACUCUUUUGUUUGUAGAACUCUUCUGCCAUAAUGGAGACCACUAUAUGAUUAUCAAUUAUAAAUACAAACUUAAAAAAGCUGGCAGUUGAAGCCUAUAAAUGCUUGAGUUAAAGACAUUUAUAAUAUUGUUUGUCAAAAUUAGUUACUUCACAGUCUGUACCUUAGCAACCUUUCAGUUUUUCUUCAAUAUCUUCAUUUUAAAAACCUUCCUGAACCCUAUAAACAUUUUUAGCUCUAACUUUUACCCUAUGAAUAAGCAUCAAGAAUACCAUUUGUCAUGUACUAUGUGACCAAUUGAACUUCUUGAAACUACAUAAUGAUGUGUACAUGCUAAGUAGUUAGUAUGUUAAAUUAAUUGUUUUCAUUUUGUAAAUGUGCCCAUUUAUUAACUGAUCUUUUUAUACAAUAGUGUAAAUUAUGCAGUAUUGUUAUGUUUAUUAAAUUAAGAGUAUAUUAACCACCAUUUCAUGUUUUAUGAGCAAUGAAUAACUAUACAAUGAUCACAUUUGAGGUAAAUUGGUAAAGUUGGUGUGAUUAUAAUCAUGUUUGUGCCUGUUGCCAUGGUAACCAGGAUAAAAACAAACCCUUAAAGACCAUUCAAAUAAGAUAAAGUAUAGUAAAUUUCAGUGGUUACAUCCUUUAACCUCCAGAUAUACAUUGGUUUGUAUAAGGUGCAAGUUACAACCUAAUGUAAAUUUAUUGUGAAAAGUUUCCAAUAAACUACGGUACUUGGCGAACAGUUUUUAUUUAUUCUGACAUUUGUCAAAUACAUACACCAGGUACAAUAAGGUUUGAGGAUAUCAAUUAACAAAUCAAUUAUUACUGAAUGCUUCAGAUGACAUUUAUUGUAUAUUUACAUGCAAAUUUAACCCCAAAAUGCCUUUUUUCAAUAAUGGUUGCCAUGGUAACCAAUUAAUUUUAAUUUAUUUUAUCAAUAAUAAUUGAGAAUGGUUUUGAAAAUAUGUUGUUGUCGUUAUAAUGUGGGAAUUGUGUAUAUAGUAGUAAUGCAUAUUUAUUGCAUCUGUGAAUACAAAUGUUUCAAUAAAUUCUUGAACUUCA